rnacentral:rRNA from 1 species
CCUACGGGGGGCAGCAGUGGGGAAUAUUGCACAAUGGGGGAAACCCUGAUGCAGCGACGCCGCGUGAGGGAGGAAGGUACAGAGUAUCGUAAACCUCUUUUGUCAGGGAACAAAGGCGGGGACGUGUCCCCGGAUGAGUGUACCUGAAGAAAAAGCAUCGGCUAACUCCGUGCCAGCAGCCGCGGUAAUACGUAGGUGGCGAGCGUUAUCCGGAAUGAUUGGGCGUAAAGGGUGCGUAGGCGGCCUGCUAAGUCUGGAGUGAAAGGUACCGGCUCAACCGGUACAGGCUCUGGAAACUGGCGGGG